UAUUUAAAAAAAUUGAUUAUAUAAUAAUUAGGUGAUAAUAAUCUGUAAAAAGAGAGAGAGAGAGAGAGGAGAAGAGGAGAACAAUGGAGCGGCGUUGAACGAAAGGAAAUUGGAGCGGCUAACCUUUCCGAUUGGAAGGGUUCGGAGGCAUUGAGGAAAGAAAAAGUACUGCAGAAGUAACUUGCUUGACUUCGGUUCUUUGGUGGAGCGAGUGUACCUAUGACUACUGAUUUUUCUCAGUUUUAGCCAGUCUCCCGCAUAUCAAGUUCCAGGGGGAGCUAUCCAUUCAAGCUCGUGUUGGGUUCCUCGGUCAUGACAUGAUGUCCUAUCAUUUCGGACAUAUACCAUUUUAUUAUUUUAUUUUGGUGUAUUUGAUAUUCUUAGACUUAGUAUUGGAGAUUAAAUGUCCUUGAUGUAAUGACUUUCAGAUUUUGGGAAAUGAUAUUUAGUAACAUUUGAGUUUC